rnacentral:rRNA from 1 species
AGUGAACGCUGGCGGUAGGCCUAACACAUGCAAGUCGAACGGCAGCACAGUAAGAGCUUGCUCUUACGGGUGGCGAGUGGCGGACGGGUGAGGAAUACAUCGGAAUCUACUUUUUCGUGGGGGAUAACGUAGGGAAACUUACGCUAAUACCGCAUACGACCUACGGGUGAAAGCAGGGGAUCUUCGGACCUUGCGCGAUUGAAUGAGCCGAUGUCGGAUUAGCUAGUUGGCGGGGUAAAGGCCCACCAAGGCGACGAUCCGUAGCUGGUCUGAGAGGAUGAUCAGCCACACUGGAACUGAGACACGGUUCAGACUCCUACGGGAGGCAGCAGUGGGGAAUAUUGGACAAUGGGCGCAAGCCUGAUCCAGCCAUACCGCGUGGGUGAAGAAGGCCUUCGGGUUGUAAAGCCCUUUUGUUGGGAAAGAAAGGCAGCAGGUUAAUACCCCGCUGUUCUGACGGUACCCAAAGAAUAAGCACCGGCUAACUUCGUG